GAGCAGCAUCAGCAAAGCCACACAGAAGAGGUCCAGGUGGAAGCCAGCUCCCUUCUGCAGGCGCCGACUGGGAGCCAACUUCAUGGCGCCCUGCCCCCUGGUGGCUGCUUGUAUCCCUGCGGGCAGACUCCAAAUUCAAAGACUCACCACUGGGAGCAGUAGACAGGCCAAGGAGUAAUACGGAUCCAGGUGGACUGGGAGGAGCAGCCACUGCUGGCUUUGAGCUCUUGCUAUGUUCUAAGCAUCUCGCAGGUUAUCUCAGUGAGUCUUCACAAUGGCUCUUCAAGAAAAGAUUUAAAGAUAACAAGAGGCAUAGAUAGAAGUAAAAUCUUAAAGAAUGAUUAAAUACACCCAUAAUGAAAUCAAAUUGGAGAAGAAAGAAAUGAUGGUCUUCAAAAUGCUGGGCUAGGAAUAAUCACCGCAAAUGAGCACUGAAACUUAACUGUGAUCUUCCUGGCAGUGAAUUCAUCAAGGGAACACAAGAAUUCCACACCUGUCAUUUGUUAAUAAAAGGAAGUGCCUAUAUCAGAUAGGCAUGAGUCAAACUU